rnacentral:rRNA from 1 species
GUAGGGAGCAAGCGCUGUUCGGAGUUAUUGGGGCGUAAAGAGCGCGUAGGCGGCCAGGUAAGUCUGAUGUGAAAUCCCACAGCUCAACUGUGGAACUGCAUUGGAAACUGCUUGGCUAGAGUGCGGGAGAGGAGAGUGGAAUUCCCAGUGUAGAGGUGAAAUUCGUAGAUAUUGGGAGGAACACCAGUGGCGAAGGCGGCUCUCUGGACCGCAACUGACGCUGAGGCGCGAAAGCUAGGGGAGCGAACGGGAUUAGAUACCCCGGUAGUCCUAGCCGUAAACGAUGGGCACUAGGUGUAGGAGGUAUCGACCCCUUCUGUGCCGUAGCUAACGCAUUAAGUGCCCCGCCUGGGGAGUACGGUCGCAAGACUA